UGUCAAAUGCUCAAGGAAACCGUAUUGCUCAGCCCAUGGUGUUUCAUGACUUAGAGCGAUCACUCUGCUUCCAAUAACAGUGCUGACGGCUCACAGGGAAGGAAGCUCCCUCCACCCAUCCCCGGCCCCUACCCCCGGCCCCAGAUCAGGAGGAGGGAAGGUUUGGAAGACUCAAGGUAUGUGUCUUAACCCCUGAGACAGAGAAAGGAAAACUGUCCUCACAGCACCCCCUGUUUGGACUGAUCUGGUCCUGGAGUCAGGGAGAUGACCUGGGGGGAUAUGGGGAG